AUUGCGAGCGGAUAGCACAUUUGCCUGUGAUUCAUUCUCAAUGCCCAAACGGCGAUCUUGAUCGGCACCAUAGAAACUAAAACGUUCAUUUCCGGCAGUUUUUGUAAAAGUAUUAAUAACAUUUUUCACUUCAGGAUGAUCGGGAGCAACACCAAACCUACAAUAUGAAAAACAAACAAAAAAUCAUUAAGAACAGAUUCAUUGAACUUCAAUGACGGUUAUUAAUGGCAAAAGUCAUUAAAUUGAGUGUAGAUAAGACAAAAAAGUGAAUACAUUUAAAAAAGAGACGUGUACAAGCAUAUAAAUAUUUAAUAAGCAAUAUGUUUAUGAAUGCCUUUUUUCGAUAUUGGAAAAGUUAUAUAAAUAGUUCCACUUAAGGAAACUAGAAGUUUCAAAUAAUUUGAUCAUAGAAAAGAAAAAUGGCCAAUUUAAAAUUGCUUCCUUUUAGUUUUUAUCUUACAUUUCUCAUGUCUAUCUUCAUUCUGGAGGCAAAAGCCACUUUCGAUUUCAAUGGUGUAGGAACCUAUUUUCAGACUAUAUUCCAUGCUAUCUUUGAUCCCAUAACCAGAGCUUUCACUCCACUCAAUUCAACCAGUAAUUUCUCUUAGUCAUCCUCCAUCUACUUACCUCACCAAUCCAAACGGUACGGGCAGCUUGUCAAUAACAUCAACUUUUACAUCCUGCAUUUGCUUAAGAAUAUUUUGGGCAGCAUAGAAUCCAGCCGGUCCUGCCCCAACAAUGCAAAUUCUUUUGGUCACAUUGGAAUUGUUGGCCAAAUAUCGUUUUAUUUUUAUGUUAUUUGAGCCAAAUUUAUUUGUAUUUUGUAAAAGAUUCCGUAGCAUUUUUUUUAUAAGUUCAAUUGCAACAAAACAACAUAAAUUGUGCAAAAACCGAAUAUUUCUGCUUCUACUUUCUCUUGGUAAAUAAAAAACAGCUGUUGCAA